UACGGGGGGGGCAAGCGUUGUUCGGAAUUACUGGGCGUAAAGGGUUUGUAGGUGGCUUGCUAAGUCAGACGUGAAAUCCCUCAGCUUAACUGGGGAACUGCGUCUGAGACUGGCAAGCUUGAGUGCAGGAGAGGAACGCGGAAUUCCAGGUGUAGCGGUGAAAUGCGCAGAUAUCAGGAGGAACACCGGUGGCGAAGGCGGUUCUCUGGGCAUUACCUGACGCUGAGGAGCGAAAGUGUGGGGAGCGAACAGG
rnacentral:rRNA from 1 species